GGCUGUGUAGUGUAAUGGUUAACGCGCUAGUUUCUGGUCUGGUGUAAAUUAGAUUGAAGUAAGAGAUUCCGAGUUCGAGUCUCGGCAUGGUCG